rnacentral:snoRNA from 1 species
GUUUGGGUGAUGACUUCACAAUUUGUCGGAUACCCCUACACUCAUUCUAUGAGUGAUAACUGUUGUCUGACAAAC